rnacentral:lncRNA from 1 species
CAUGAUUCCUCAAAGACAAUCUUGACCAACAACCUUACUUAGAUCACUAAAGUACCUCGGAUCAGAUUUCAAAUCAGCCUACUCAUCAGGUCCACUCUACCAUGCCAGACCAGGCAUCCAAGUUAUAAAGAUGAGAUUCCAAAUUACCCAGCUGCCAUAAAGCUCGCGUUCCCGUGUGAAUCCUGAACUCUGGCUGACGACAUCUGGAGUCCACUCCAAUCAUGUGUUCCCUCAAUGACUGAAAAACUUGAGCAUAAUGACUACCUAAGAUUCAUAUCUGUAUAUACCCAAAAUGUUUAUUAAAUAGAAAUAAAGAUAAAAUAAUGUGUA